rnacentral:lncRNA from 1 species
GAAUUUUUCAAGUAAAGUAUUGCCAUGAUGAUUUACAAUGUUAAUAAAAAGAGAUUAGAAGGAUUGGAAAAGUAAAAUUUUGAGACAUGUGAAAAAGGGGGCCGGUUGACAAGGUUUUUUUUCCUGACAUUGACUCCUGGCCUGGUGCUUUUCCCUUCAGAGACUGCUCUCCAGACUCAUUCCUCUUGCUGGACAACUUGGCUUUGCCUCUUCUCAGAGGAUACAUCAUGCACCAUACUGUGCCCCGCCUGUCGGAUUAGCUUUUCGUGAACAAUCGUGUGGGAACUUUCAAAUGGUUGCCGUGAGAGUGUUGGAGAAAAGCCAUUGUCCCAUAGCUACAAAUUUGGCCAAGUAUCAUCACAUGUAUUUUUCUCAAUGGACAGAUUGAAACAGGUUUCAGGCAGCAGUCCACUGGUUAUUUCUGCCCUCUCAAAGCAUCCUGCAGUCACUCAUCUCUAGUCCUGUACUUCACCUAUCAAUAAAAGGAAUUUGAAAUCUUUCAACACAGAGAUAUUAUUUCUGCUUCAACUUAUUUCAGGAUGCCACGGUUCAAAAUAAAAAUCCACAGACUGCUGAUGGCUCUGUCAAUAUCAGUCAGCUGCUAACAACACUUUAUUGGAGGUGCUUCAAGGUAGAGUGUAGGCACCUGAAACCAUCAAUAAAUGGAGAGAAAGUCCUGGGG